rnacentral:rRNA from 1 species
GUGGUUUUUGAUCCUGGCUCAGACGACCGCUGGCUGUGCGAUGCCUAAUACAUGCAAGUCGAGCGAACAGAGAAGGAGCUUGCUCCUUUGACGUUAGCGGCGGACGGGUGAGUAACACGUGGGCAACCUACCUUAUAGUUUGGGAUAACUCCGGGAAACCGGGGCUAAUACCGACACUAAUCUAUUUUACUUCAUGGUGAAAUACUGAAAGACCGGUUUUCGGCUGUCGCUAAUAAAGAAUGGGGCCCCGCGGGCCGGCAUUUAGCUAAGUUGGGUUGGAAAGGUUAAACCGGGUUCCACCCAAAGGGCGGACGGA